GUGGGGAAUAUUCCGCAAUGGACGAAAGUCUGACGGAGCAACGCCGCGUGAGUGAUGAAGGUUUUCGGACUGUAAAGCUCUGUUGUUUAGGACGAAAGUGCCUGUUGCAAACAGUUACAGGUAUUGACGGUACUAAACGAGGAAGCCACGGCUAACUACGUGCCAGCAGCCGCGGUAAUACGUAGGUGGCAAGCGUUGUCCGGAAUUAUUGGGCGUAAAGAGCAUGUAGGCGGGAAUCUAAGUCUGUUGUGAAAAUGCGGGGCUCAACCCCGUAUUGCGAUGGAAACUGGGUUUCUUGAGUGCAGGGGAGGAAAGGGGAAUUCCCAGUGUAGCGGUGAAAUGCGUAGAUAUUGGGAGGAACACCAGUGGCGAAGGCGCCUUUCUGGACUGUGUCUGACGCUGAGAUGCGAAAGCCAGGGUAGCGAACGGGAUUAGAAACCCGGGUAGUCC
rnacentral:rRNA from 1 species